ensembl:lncRNA
GCGGUAUAGUCCAGUGGUAAGGUGGUAUGGUGGUAUGGUCCGGUGGUAAGGUGGUAUGGUGGUAUGGUCCGGUGAUAAGGUGGUAUGGUCCGGUGGUAUGGUGGUAUGGUCCGGUGAUAAGGUGGUAUGGCCCGGUGGUAUGGUGGUAUGGUGGUAAGGUGGUAUGGUCCGGUGAUAAGGUGGUAUGGCGGUAUGGUCCGGUGAUAAGGUGGUAUGGUCUGGUGGUAUGGUCCGGUGAUAAGGUGGUAUGGUCUGGUGGUAUGGUCCGGUGGUAUGGUGAUAUAGUCCGGUGGUAAGGUGGUAUGGUGGUAUGGUCCGGUGGUAAGGUGGUAUGUUCCGGUGGUAUGGUGAUAUGGUCCGGUGGUAAGGUGGUAUGGUCCGGUGGUAAGGUGGUAUGGUGGUAUGGUCCGGUGGUAUGGUCCGGUGGUAAGGUGGUAUGGUCCGGUGGUAAGGUGGUAUGUGAGGUGAACCAGCCGUGGAGAAUGCACAUCGAAUUGGACCAAAACCA